GACCCCUCCAUUUCCAUUCUCCUGUAAGUAACAUGAGGGCUAGAAACCCUAAACAGCCUGUACAUAAAAACAAACCAAAGCUGGGUAAAGCUUUGAAACAACAUUACACACAUUAUCAGAAAGCUCAUAACUGCAGGAAACUCUGUGUUUAUGAACACACGGGAACCUAUUUGUUCCAAACACACAAAAAAAGGUUAUUUCUCUGUCGCUUAAAGACAGCACAACAAUAAGAGCCGUGUAAAGUAGUCACACAGCAGCAUUUACAUCUUCAUAAGCAGCCAUUACACUAAAAUCACAUUAGGCUCACAUAUAACAUGAGGGUUUUUAAUAACACGACUUUAUUGCCAGCAACUCUGUGUGUGCCUCAAUAUUGAUGUCCAAAGUGUGUUGUGAAAACACACACAUAUAUACGCAAACAGACAAGCACAGACACACACGAGCUUAGUAUUAGCAUGUCCCAACAGGAACAUGGGGCUUCACUGCAGGAAUACAUCUCUGUGAUUGUUCAGCAGUGUGUGUGUGUGUGUGUGUGUGUGUGUGUGUGUGUGUGUGUGUGUGUGUGUGUGUGUGUGUGUGUGUGUGUGUGUGUGUGUGUGUGUGUGUGUGUGUGAGCAGGCAGAGGGUGUGUAGGGAUACUGAAGCUGCUUUUCCCAGGAGAUGACAGAGAGAGGCAGUACUGUCUUGUCUGUAUAUCACAGGGUAAGAGUACACACACACACACACACACACACAGACACUCACACUUUCAUCUGAAAUGUAUGGGUAGAACAUCAGUACUUUUCUAUGAUGUGUGUAUCUUGUUUUGCAGAAAUACUGUAUGUCCUGCAUUACAUUUACUGCUUCACACAUCAACAAAAACAGCAGUACUCACAGUUUAUGUACAGUAUGAGUAAGGAAAUAUGACUUUUUUGUUGACAAUUGGGUAAAGUUUUUCUGUUUCUGCACUUUAUCUAUCCACGUAUUAGUUUUAUUUUGACAACUUUUUACUUCUCUUCCUGAGAUUUCAACCUAAAUCAACUCACAUACUUUGAAAUCAGGCCUCUUUUCUCAUUUUUUUUCUUCAUAAGGGAAGUGUUUGUCAUUUUUAUGAAGUGUUGCUCUGCUUUAUUGCCAUGGCAUUUGGGUGGCAGUAGCUUGGGAGGCAGAGCAGUUGUCCAAAAACUGGAAGGUUGGCAGUUCAAUUCCCCCGUAUCUUUGGUCUAUACGUUGUGUCCUUGGGCAAGACACUUAACCCACAUUGCUCCCAGUGUUGGAGAGGCCGUAGACGCAAACUGGCAGCCAUGUGUCAGUCAGUCUGCCCCAGGGCAGCUGUGGCCACUAAGGUAGUUUACCACUGUGACUGUGUGUUCAAAAUGAAUGAUGUAUCCAAUGUAAAGCACAUUGAGGGUCUCUGAUAAAGCGCUAUAUAAAAUCUGAUGCAUUAUUAUUAUUAGACUCUUUCUUUAACUGGUUACAAUUCUGCUUUUGGGGAAGUUCAGAAUACGCUGCCGAGGGGAACUCCAAGUCCAGAACACAACCUGUCACCUCUGGCAUUUCCCAAAGUUUAAUCCUAAACCCCACUCUCUUCAUCCUUCACACUCUCUCCUUCACACAUGUGCCAAGACACCAACAUUUAUGCUAGUUUUUUUCCUCCUCUAUAAUAAUAAUAAUAAUGCAUCAGAUUUCAUAUAGCGCUUUAUCAGAGACCCUCAAAGCGCUUUACAUUGAAUACAUCAUUCAUUCGUUCACACAGUCACUCCAGUGGUGGUAAACUACCUUAAUAGUCACAGCUGCCCUGGAGCAGACUGACUGACACAUGGCUACCAGUUUGCGUCUACAGCCUCUCCGACCACCACCUCACAACACUCACAAUCAUACACCAGUGGAGGACACACACUGGGAGCAGGGUGGGUUAAAUGUCUUGCCCAAGGACACAACAGACAGACUCAGGAUAGGGGGUAAUCGAACCGCCAACCUUCUGAUUAUUAGACGACCGCUCCACCUCCUGAGCUACUGCCGCCCCAAGCAUGUAAUCUUUUUCACAUACCUUGAAAUGUUUUGGCCCAAACUUCUGCCUUCCUCAGAACCGUCACUUGGUGGUAGGGCUGACGUUAUUUUCGUAUACUAAAAUGAACGUUGCAGUUUGUUUGUCCUCCUCUUUUUUAUCAUUGCAAUAGUUAUUUCACUACAAGAGUAGUUAGAUUUUUUUUGUUCCUUUUGCUAAGCCCCGCCCACAAAAAAUGAUGUGAUGUGUUACAAACACUGAAAAGGUCUGCAAGAAAAAGUAAAUCUUUCAGAAUUCGUCCAUUCAAAGCCUCAAUAUGUGAAUCCAAAUAUAUAGUCGAGAGGAGUAAUUUGUAAAUGGGAAGUAAACCAAAUAUGGUCUGAUAAAGAAAGGUAAUAUUUUCACUGUGAGUGCUGUUUUCAUCCCCACAGACUGUUUUUCAAAUGUGAGUGGUGGUGGUGGUUGGUGGGGGGUUUAGUAUUGACCAGCAGUGUUUGUGCCCUUCUUGGUGACUUUAGGGCAUCGGGAAGGUUAAAGAAAGGGGAGGGUAAAAAGAGGAAAUGAUAGGGAAGGCUGAGAGAGGGAAGGGAGAUGACAGGACAUGGAGAGAAAAGGAGAGGAAGAGUGGAAGAGGAGGAGGAGCAGGGGAGCCCCGUCACAUGGGACCAAGCUAUUGAUUAAAUUCUGACAUUGAUUAAGCAUCCCCUGAUUCACAAUGCCAUGUGUUUGUGCAUGAGUGUGUGUGAGUGUUUGUGCAUGUAUGUGUGUGUGAGUGUGUGUGUGUUUGUGCAGGAUGAUCACAUUUUUACUCUAGAUGACUUUAGAAGUGGAUCAAGUGAAUAAAAGGAAAAAUAAAUAGUUUAUUUUCUAUCAGUUUGUCUAUUUUUUUCACAUAAACAUAUGAUGAUGAUGAUGAUGUGUGCUCUUUUGAAACCUGUAUGUGUGUGCAUAUUGUGCCUAUAGAUCUCAACCCCUAGGAGGCCUGACUUGCAAUACCACUUCAUCCAUCCUUGUGGGAUAAAAAAAGGGUCUCUCUCUCUCUCUCUCUCUCCUCUUCUUUCUCUUCCUCUGUCUCCUUUGUGUGCACUCUUUUCUUUUUUAUUCAUCAUUAAUCCUCCAGUCUGGGUUGGGGAUGUCACAGCCUCUCCCUCCCUCCGCUGCCCUCUCUCUACCACUCGCCCUCUCUUUAACGUUAUUGUGUGUGUGAAAGAGAGAGUGUGUGUGAAGGGCAGGGGCUUGUCAUCCCGUGCCCCUGUCACUCUGCCUCUCCAUUCAGAGCGUGGCGCCCUCUUUGCCAGUGAUAAUUAACCCCUCCCCACCUUAUUUCCCCCUCGUCUUUACCAUCCUUCCCAUCUCAUCUCUGCACUCACUGAAUUAUGCUUUCAUAAAGACCUAUAAGUCUUGGAAUAAAUGAAUUUCCCUUUGGGGAUCAAUACAGUUCUUGUAUUCUACUGUAUACUUAUAACGUUAUAUCAUUAUUACUGUGUGUUUUAUCUUUUGCUCUGAUAUUGUAAUGACAAAGCCAUGAAGAUCGUGAUUUGAGUCUGCUAAUGACUGUGUUUGGGUCAUGGACAGGGUGCAACAGGUCAGGAUCUGUGGAGAGCCUCAACCUGAGGGUUGUUAUACAAACACAAACAGCAGCUGAUACACUGUGCCCGUAAAUACUGGGAAGCAUACACACAGUAUGCUUACAUGUAUAGUUGGGCUGAGCUAAAGCCAGAGCUCGAUUAGGUCAUUUAACUGGACUACUGUCCCCAGUUUACAUGCAGUGUGCAAGAAUUGAAUUAUCAGCAAAGGUGUAUCCAUUUCUGCUCCAACAGGUGGCAAAUCUUCCCCCUUUCAACUUGUUAUCAUCAGGUUGUCUCUUGGUAGAUGUAUAACAAAUCAAAGCAGUCGGCAAAACAUGUUAGUAAGAGGCUAUUGUGAUGUAACUUAUAAAGCUUCCUACAGUUUACAUCCUUUCUUUGUCAGUAAGGGUUUUCUCCUUUAGCUAGGCUUCUAGCUAUGCAUCUAUGCUGUUGAUGCUGGCUCUGAGGCUGGCGUGCGAACACUUGAGUAUGCAUAGAAAGUUUAGGCCAGUUUCAGCUAAACUGUGCUGUAUACAUAAAAAAAAAAAAAGAUCUCCAACCACAUGAUCCAGGUAAGUUAGUCUGUCUAUGAGAAGUUUGAUUUCAGUCGACUAACAUAUUUACAUUCAUUUAAAAAACUUACUUGAUUUUUAAGUGCAUGUAAACUGACAUUGAAUCAAACUGCUCAUGGUAAUGUUUGGUUAAUAUUUGGUCAGAUCACAUGUAGUAUACCAAGUUAACCAUAGAACACUAUGUUUUUAGUUGAGUUGCAUUUGUCUGGGUGUCAUGGGCCCCUGAGUAGCUUUAGCAUCGCCCUUUUACAUCUUUGAAAAUGUGGGUGUUUCUGUUACUCCAAAACUUGCUUUUUCUGACAGGCACGUGUUCGAGUGAUUUUAACCCCACAGUAGUGAUAGAGUAUAAAGUAGGUUAUGGGUUGAUUUUUAGUGUUAAAUUUAUUAAUUCAGGUAAUUUUGCAGCAUUUCAAGGGUGACAACCAUAGCCUGUAUGUAGAAUAGACGCACUCUGCCCACUGGGUGAAGCUUCAGCGAGAACAGCACCCCCUGGUGACGGGCUGCAGUAUAGGUUAUUAAUUUCAAAAUGAAAGAAGCUGUGGACGAACUUAAAAAAAUAAAUACACAGAAUAUAAAUUUUUCUCCCCCCCCCCCCGAUUGCUUGUUGACGUGUAGUUAUUGUAAGACUGGUUUGUGCUUAAGUCCUCUUUUUUCUAUGCAGCUCCAUUUUUAAAAGUUAUUAGCCUUUAAAAUUUUCUAUGAUUGACACUUGGUACAGUCUGUGGGAGUACAAAGGUUGCGUAGGACAUCCAGGGUGUACGCUGUUUCAGCAGAGCAUUGUCACAGCAACUCUCCAGCCGAACUAUAUCAGGAGCAAUUUGGCUUUGUACAAUGACUGGCCACAUUCUCAGUGUCUUUGUGUUGAGCCCAAAACACACAUUUAAUUGCUCAACUUCACAUGCCUAUUGCUCAGACUUUGGUAAAAAUGUGGUUCACUUUGAAGUGUUGGUAUGAGAUGGCUGAUCAGAAUCAAGAACUCGCGCUAGCUGUGUAAUGGAAAUAGAUAAAUAAAGGAGCUUUUGAUAUGUUAGCAUGAGAAGUCAAUCACAUAAGUUCUUAGUAAGGCUGUAUUUUUAACUUCUCAUAGACAUACACCUCUUCUGAUAAUAAAAAAAGACAAAAAUAUGCGUAAAAAUAUCAACUGGUUUGAUCCAUAACAGAGGAGAGGGAAGACAAAUACAUGUUUUUUGAUAAGAAACGCAAGAGCUUCCUCAGUGGACAGAAUGUGUACCCUCCUGGACAGCUUAGGUAUGUGUUUAUGUGUGUUUCACUCACACAGACACACAAACAAACAAGGUUUUACAUGUAUUGUACACACACACACAGACUCUGUCUGAGCUCUCUCCUCCUAAUUGCUCUUGAAUGGUGACCCUGAUAAACAAAAAGCAGCUCAGGAGCGAGCAAACAAAAGCUUGUUUUGUCGUUUAUUAUCACUCCUUCACUCUUUUCCUUUUAUUUGUGCCUCUGGUUGGUCAGAGGGGACAGGGGAGGCGGGGGGAUUGUCUUCUCUGUCUCUCUAUCAGAUGCCUGGUGUGUUGCGUGUAUUGAUCGCUGAGGCUCAGUAGCAGAAAAUAAUGGGGUGGUGAAAGCUUAGUAGAGAAAGAGAUGGAGAGAAAGAGAGAAAAAGAAAUCUAGAAAUGAGUAAGUGUGUGUGUGAGCGUGUAUUUCUGCUAACACACACACACACAAACACUACACUCCCAUACACAAUCCUAAUUCUCUGCCUCCUUGCUGCCCUGUGCCCUCAUAUGAAUAUUGGUUCUCUCCUAAGUCCUCCAUGUCACCGUUACGUGUCUCUGAAUUUGUGUGUGUAUGUGUGUGUAUGUAUGUCCAGGCAGCCUCAUUUGCAUAUGUGUGUGUGCGCGCAUGUGUGUUAUCUAUGUGAAUAAAUCCUUCCAAGCCCCGUGCGCCUCAGGGUGAUGUGAUGCGGCCAGUGCCCGAGCAACCAUACCCUAGCUAAUUUACAACCAUCCUAGUGUGUCCCCCUGACUCCCACACACACACAUACACACACACACACACACACGACUUGAUGACACCACGGUGAAACAUGUCGUCUAGACGACAUUGAACCCUGAGUCCGCCCAGGGUAAUUGUUUUAUGCAAAUGGAGAGAGCUAGGGCUGACAUGAUUGGGCCAGACUUGGUGUUGAUUGAAGUGUGCGUGAGUGUGUGUAUGUGUGUGUGUGUAACAGUUGUAAUGGAUGUGACCAUGAUAGUGGUGUAAUGCUGGUAGCCAUUAGUAUUAUUGUUAUUGUAGGAAAUGUUCUAUUAUUCAGAGGGGCAGGGCCACGCAAUAUACAUAACAUGGAGAAAUAUGGAGGAAAAUGACAUCAAUAUGCACACAACACACACAAGCAGACACAUGCAAAAACAUAUGUGUGUAAUAUCUAACUUCUCAUUGGAUUGACUUCAUUAUCAGCCCACACAUCACAGCGUUAAAGAAAAUAUGAAUCACAACAACAAUGCAUGUAAAAAUAUUGACGCCACUUAAUGAAAUGUUAGAGUUUGGAUCCUAAACACACAAACACAGACACACACACACACACACACCAAGGGCCAUGUGCUAUCAGGGUAGCCAUCAGAGGGGAGAGAGUGUGUGCGUGUGCGUGUGUGUGUGUGUGUGUGUGUUGUGGUCCAAGUCGUAAAUUUAAUUUCAUGCUGGAUUUGCAGAGCUCAUCUGAAUUGCAUGUGGGCACAGCCUGAUGGGCCUCAGUCUCAACGCUGGAGAGUCACACACUGAGACGCAGAUGCUGCUAUUGAUGGCGCACGCAAGAAUUCGCACAGAUAAACACAUAGACAAACACACACAUAUACACACACUCACAAACACAGGCAGAAGUUAGAUCUCAAGGUUAUGAUACCAACAUGGCCUGGAGGUAAAACCCCAAAUCUUAAACUUUUCACUUCUGUGAACAACUAAAUUUAUGGAGUGUGGAACUCAAAAAGUAUCAACGACACAAACGCUUAAGAACAGGCUCAAAAUAUCAAAAGUCUUGACUCUAUUAACUGUUUGCCACACCCAUGGUAAGAUGUCAAAUAUCGUGUCAACUGAGGCUUACUUCCUGACACAUUUUUAUGUGCACUGCAGGGCGGAUAUGCCAGGCAAAGGGCUGCAGCCGUGUCUUUAUAACAACUGCUUUCAGCAGGUACAGGUCAUGUCAGGAGAUUUCCCAGACUGGCAAAGUUGUCACAUCAUUAUCUCUGUACUUCAGCAGCAUCAGUGCCAUUUUAAGUAAUGGUUUUCUGAUGUCUGACUCUGAACUGGUCAAGCUCAUGAUUGACACCUGACCAUAUGGGCAUGCAUGUUUUUCUCAAUUAGAACAAGUAAGCAGAAAACUGGACACUGUAAUUGUGGAUCCAGUGAAUGCCAACCAGGGUUUCAACGUUCAAAUUAGGGUUAAAGCAGAAAAAUUAUUCUUUAAAGACCCAGUCUGAUGAAAAUCUUUUUUUUCUUGUUGUCUACAUGUUCAUACUUUUCUGAUACCAGAGGACAUAUCAUAAUCAUAGAAUAAUAUGUGCUAAAUUGCAAUUCUGAGUAUUUCUGCAUUCAAAUCGCUGUGAACCUCUGGCAGACCCAAACGACAGGCUCACAGGCAAAACCCAAAGGAUCCGGAAUGGCUACGCUCCGCUUCGGCACGGCCAGCGGAUCAAAUCCGCAAGCAUUAUAAUCAAUGUGUGUCAUUUCACAGAAUCCGGCCAGCGUCUGGCUCCGCUGUGGAUCGGCUCCAGUGGCCGGAUCAGAUGCGCAAGGCUUCUAUUUUUGCCGGAUGCUGGAGCAUGGUGCAUCAAUUCAGUGCAGCGAAGCACGAGCACAGCGGAAGUUGUUACGGAGUAAAAUACCUGGUUAAUUUUCAAAAUAAAAAAAGUUAAUACAUUGAACUGUUCUUAACUUGAUAAUAGAAGAGGCCAGGGUUGUGGGAUGUAGUUGUUUAUAUACAGCGCCGUUUAUAUACACCAAUUGGUCACUCUGACUACCGGGGAAACAUGCGAGAGCCCGUGAGAUCUGGUCCAGUCUCGCAAGAAAUACAGGUAAUCUCGUGAGCGCUUCUCCUUCGAUGGCGGCGGAGGAUCAGAUCUGAUGGGCGCUGUAUGCUUGCCCAUCAGCGGAUCUGUGGGUUUAGCUAGUCAGACACAGCAAGAUUUCUGACCUCACAACUGCAAGCUCCGCCCCCCGGAGCCCCGCUAUGCAGGCCAGACUCGAAGAAGUAAAGAAGACAAUCGCGGAACAAGCUAACUCUGGUGUAUGUUUUAUACAGUCUAUGGCUGCUGUUUCCUUCUUGCAAAUACUGAUGUAAAAAGAAGAUGUACAGUUCAGCUGGGUCCAUGCUUUCAGCUGCUUAUCUUCAUUCAGAACCCUGUAAUACCAACCCACAUGAACACACACAGUCAUAACAAUUGUUCGAUCUGCCUUCACAAACUGAGGUAUCAUUCUGGACCUUGUUUGGCCUGCAGGGUUUUCAUCCAUCAUACCAACCUGUUUUAUGUGGCAUGCUUUUUUUUUUUUUUCUCUGAGUACAAGAAUUUACUUUUCUUACUUUUCUCUUUACUGUCUCUGAACAAAAACUAGCCGAGGUCACGGCAAUUCAAUCACAACUUUAUGAAGGACAAAGAAAGAGCAGAGUUUUAAAAAAAACCUUUGUUUUUCUUUCAAAAAAGACAAAAAAGAACUAUUUAAAACACAAUGAAUGGAGGAAAAAAGCAGAAGACACUCUGAGAAGUAAGCGCUGUCAUUCCCCUCUGUCCUCUCCACAGUCCCCUUUCAUUUUGUGCCAUCAACUGUUGUACAAAGAGACAUUCUUUGAACGCUUUAGAGAGAAACAUUCAAGAAGGCAGGUAUUUGUUUGAGUCCCUCACAGCAGAUGAACAUUUUGAAACUCUUAUAAGUCAUCCUUUGUUUUUCUUUCUUUCCCAGAGAGUACAUGAACACGCUCCUUGUGGAGGAUUGUCUCUAAGAGCAGAAGGAAAAAUGGAGAUAUUCACCCCGUGGUCAUUUUGACUGAACGCUUUUCCAGGUCCUUCACUCUUUGACUCAGAGUGUCCCAGGACAGUCUGAAGGAAGAGGUUUUGCAGGAGGAACACACAAUUACCACAAAAAAGAGAGGGGGCUACAUAAAUACUUCAUCGUUCAAUAAAUCUACAAAGACAUCAUUCUACUGGAAUUUCACUCUGAUAUAAAUCUUUAUUGACCAGAUACUUCAUGGUCUGUAAAAUUUGCAAGUGAAUGAUAUGCUCCAAGGUUGUUUGAUUCUAUUUUUUCUUAUUGUGUUUCUAGAUGCAUAACAGCGUAACAAAGUGCCACAUUCAUUUUCCUCAUUCAGGUACCUGCAAUCAUGCAACAGGUACAUGCAUGUGAACACAGCUUUACAUGCAACUUGACCAUGUUAACUAAAGAUUUUGAAUAUUGCUUGUUUUUUUUCUUUUUGUUUGUGUUCAAUUAAGAUUUUAACUUGGUUAUCAAGCAGGUGACAAAUGUCAAACCAAUAAAGAAGAGUUAAAAUUGCAGUUCCUCAAGUGACCACUCGAGGCCUUACCUAAAAAACCUAGGACUCUAAUACACACCCAUUAAAAAAGCCCAUCUUGACAGCAAAAAUGAACAGGUGAACAGUCUAUGGCAAGGUUUGGGGUUUCUUGUAAGUAGGGUUGACUUGACAGACAGGUGAAUACGCUGUUUCAUUUAUGAAAAUAUUAUGAAGAGUAAGAAGCAGAGAGUUAUUUAUACAUUUGCACAAGAGGCACAGAUGGAUUUGACUGACAGAUGGUUAUGUCGUUGCUCUUAUUAUGGCGCCCUCACCCGUUGGGCUUCAAAAGAUCUGACUUAAAACCUAUAGGCCACAUCACAGGAAGUGCGUCCACAUUUAUGCAGCCUUUGUUCACACAAUGUAAAAUGAACCUAGUAUAGCUGCUGGGGAAGAUGAUAAGAUAGAAAUCUUGAAAGUGCAGUAAAAGAAAGAAGAUUAGUCAAAAUUUUGUCGUUAUAUAAAGGUUUAUUUGAUCAAGUUACUUGUUUUACAAUAUGGUGUCAUAUGUUGCUCAAAUGUACUGAUCGCAUCCUGACUGAUCUAUGUCUCAGCAUGUAAAUAAACCUGGAUGGAGAUCUGUAAUUAAACAAAGUCAGUGAAUCAAGAUGGAAGGAUUUACACUUGAAAAGGUCAGGGAUGUUACAAAUCCUUCAAACAAAGUACUGACUGGGCCUUUUAGAGCUGCCAGUCCAUUUUCAGCCCCCUACCUGUGAGAGAUAUUAAACUUGGUUAUACAAAGAGACAGGAGAGGCUUAUAAAGAUUUGAGAGUUUUUGGUGUUAUUUUAAAACUGUUGGCAACAUUUAAAUGGUGUUAUAAUGUAGGUGGUCUACAAGCCUGCAACUAGCAUAAAGAGACAGGGCUCAAAGGUGAUUAUGCAUCGAGAAAAACAGAUUCAAAACAAGUUUUCUAGUGACUGUGGCGCUUCAGCUACAAGUGCAAGAGAAGAGGGCCUGAGAAAAAAAGAAACAAAACAAGCCUCUACAAACAUAUAAGAGAAGAUAACUUUCACAAACAUCCUCCACACAGACACUACAGCCGCUCUCCCAGGGCGCUUUACCUUCCAAAAGCUGCUCCAGCAACUGAGACAAAAGCCAGACACGCACACCUACACACACACACAAACCAACACACACUCUUCUUUCCCCUCGCUUCGCCUCGCCUGGCCAGUCUCAACAUCCCAGCGCUCUUUGAGACGACGUCCCAACAAUUCCACCGGGUCCCUCAUUAAGGCCCAGGCGCCGACUCUCAAGGGGAGUUGCGAGGGAGGGGCAGCUGGGUAAACUUUGGAGAGGUCACCUCCUCGUUUCCUUCCUCUGCCUCCUCUCAUCCCUUGUUCCGGCCCAUCCUCAGGUCCUGUCAGCGGAGAGUGUAAACAAGCAGAAGGUUAGCAGUGUUUUCACCCAACUCUGUCUUUUCUCAUUAGGGACAGAGGACAGGAAGACAGUACCACCACCACUGCCACACUUUGUUGUUUAAGGUAACUUGGUGUAUCAUCUCUGGUUUCUAAGUUGUUGAUAUGUUACAGUUUCAGUUUGAUGAAGGCAUCUACAUGAUUAGUUUUAGUAAAAGAUCAUUGGCUGUUCCUAAUUUUUUUCAUUUUGUUUUGGAAUAAACUUAAAAUGCAUUAAUUUAAACAGCAGGAUAUGGUUUAAAGAUGUCCAAUCAUUUACUCAGUGACAUCAGAUGAUCAUUAAACUUCCAUAUCACCAUUAUCAACACCGGAGUCCCACAGGACUGUGUCCCGGGACCCUUUCAGUUCAACAUCUAUAGUAAAGACUGUACCCAUACCUAACCAAUCACCACAUCCUUCAAAAGCUCCAAUGAUACUGCCGUAUUCAUACUCCUGGAUGAUCAUAACCCUGUUUUAAAUUGUCUAGACUUCAUCUACCACUUCACACAAUGGUGCACAGAUAGUAUCCUUCAGCUAAAUGUAGCAAAAACAAACUGGUUAUCAAUGUUUCCAGCACUCAAUCCAUCAGCAUCAAUGAUGAAACUGGUGAGAUGGUUUAAGUGCUUCAAAUUGCGAAGACUUGCCCCAGACUAUGAAGUGAAUUUCUCAUAACACACCAAUGACAUACUUAAACACUGCCAUCAAAGACUGUCUGUAGCCCCUUACCUUCUGCUAUCACUUUACAAAGACAUUUUCUAACCCAUUCCUCUGUGCUGUUCUCCCUGUUACUGCUGUAUAACAUGCUAACUGCCUUCAACAACAGCCAACUCAUUCACAUCUCAAACAGUGCCUCCAAAAUUAACGGCCUCCCACACCUUACCUAUUUGACCUGAACAGAGGAGCAAUCACACGCACCAUAACACUUGACCCUAGGUACCCUCUCUGCUUAUUCCUCACACCGCUCCCAUCUGGUGGUAUAUAUAGAUCCCUGGUCUGGAAAUGAGGGUGGUUUGGCAUGACCUGUACUCCUCUGCCAUCGCACUCUUGAGCAAAACAUCCCAUUAAAGCUUUUUGUGCGUAUAUGGACUCCUGUGGAAUAUGAAGGUAUGUGGAAUUUAUUGAUGUCUUUCAGGUACAGAGGGUGCAGAUGUUCUCUGUGUUUUCUUUGGAUAUUUGCCAUGUACAGACUAUGGUAACAAACUCCCUUGUAAAAGGACUCUACUUUUAUUUUUUAUUUGACCUUUAUUUAGCCAGGUAAGUCCCAUUGAGAUCAGAGAUCUCUUUUUCAAGGGAGACCUGACCAAGAAUGGCAACAAUACACAGCCAUGUGCUCAAACUAACAUCAACACAUAACAGUGUACACCUCAUGAUACCACCAAUAUGACUCCAUGGCUCAAGAAUCCAUCAGAAUCACACUUACACAUUACAUUACCUUAAUAUAGGCUAGUCCAGCAACACUUAAUUUUCAGAGCAUUUAAAACCAGUAACCACAUAUUCACAAUUAAGAAUAGGAAACGAAGAUCACAGAUACUGUCAAAGCUUAAAAAUAAAAGGCAGAUAUUAAGAUAUUAGUCAAAAAAAGGCCACCAAAAUUUCGCUAUGUUAGCUCAAACAAGUUUGUCCAAUAAAUUGCGCAUUCUCCCCAGACAUGUUUCAGACAUACUCAAAGAAGUCCAGUUGACUUUAGAAAAUAAAGUAAAAUGACAAGUCAGAAAUUCACAGGUAGUGAUAUAUCUCACACUGUCCUGCAAAUGAAGACUGAACAGAAGCAUUCAUGUACACAACAUCACUGUAAUCAAGAACAGAUAAAAAAGAAGACUAAACAAGUGUCUUUUUGGCAUAAAAAGAGAAACAAGACUUUUUUGUGUAAUAGAAGCCAAGUAGGACCUUCAGCUUUUCAGCAACAUAUUUAAUGUGCUCCUUAAAGAUUUAAUUUUCUGUAUCUUUGAUGCUUUUGGGGUAAAAAAAUAUACUAAGAAAAGAUUUGUGUUAAAAGGU